rnacentral:rRNA from 1 species
AGAGUUUGAUCCUGGCUCAGGAUGAACGCUAGCGGCAGGCCUAAUACACGCAAGUCAAGGGGCCCAGCAAUGGGCACCGGCGGACGGGUGCGUAACGCGUACACAACAUACCUUUAAGUGGGGGAUAGCAUUGGGAAACUGAUGGUAAUACCCCAUAAUAAUACAGGGAGGCAUUUCCUUGUAUUUAAAGCUCCGGCGCUUAGAGAUUGGUGUGCGUCCGAUUAGCUAGUUGGUGGGGUAACGGCUCACCAAGGCGACGAUCGGUAGGGGAUGUGAGAGCAUGACCCCCCACACGGGUACUGAGACACGGACCCGACUCCUACGGGAGGCAGCAGUAAGGAAUAUUGGACAAUGGAGGGAACUCUGAUCCAGCCAUGCCGCGUGAAGGAUGAAGGCGCUCAGCGUUGUAAACUUCUUUUGGAUGGGAACAAUAACUUCUACGUGUAGGAGCUUGAGGGUACCAUCAGAAUAAGCACCGGCUAACUCCGUGCCAGCAGCCGCGGUAAUACGGAGGGUGCAAGCGUUAUCCGGAAUCACUGGGUUUAAAGGGUGCGUAGGCGGUGGCGUAAGUCAGUUGUGAAAUUCCCCGGCUUAACCGGCGGGACUGCGAUUGAUACUGCGUCACUUGAAUCAGGGUGAGGUAGGCGGAAUGUGACAUGUAGCGGUGAAAUGCUUAGAUAUGUCAUAGAACACCGAUUGCGAAGGCAGCUUGCUGGACCUGUAUUGACGCUGAGGCACGAAAGCGUGGGGAGCAAACAGGAUUAGAUACCCUGGUAGUCCACGCCCUAAACGAUGUUUACUUGCUGUGCGGUCUUAGGAUUGCGUGGCGAAGCGAAAGCGAUAAGUAAACCACCUGGGGAGUACGCCGGCAACGGUGAAACUCAAAGGAAUUGACGG